rnacentral:rRNA from 1 species
CUCCAUGAUUCAGCGGCGGACGGGUGAGUAAUGCCUAGGAAUCUGCCUGGUAGUGGGGGACAACGUUUCGAAAGGAACGCUAAUACCGCAUACGUCCUACGGGAGAAAGUGGGGGAUCUUCGGACCUCACGCUAUCAGAUGAGCCUAGGUCGGAUUAGCUAGUUGGUGAGGUAAAGGCUCACCAAGGCGACGAUCCGUAACUGGUCUGAGAGGAUGAUCAGUCACACUGGAACUGAGACACGGUCCAGACUCCUACGGGAGGCAGCAGUGGGGAAUAUUGGACAAUGGGCGAAAGCCUGAUCCAGCCAUGCCGCGUGUGUGAAGAAGGUCUUCGGAUUGUAAAGCACUUUAAGUUGGGAGGAAGGGCAGUAAGUUAAUACCUUGCUGUUUUGACGUUACCGACAGAAUAAGCACCGGCUAACUUCGUGCCAGCAGCCGCGGUAAUACGAAGGGUGCAAGCGUUAAUCGGAAUUACUGGGCGUAAAGCGCGCGUAGGUGGUUCGUUAAGUUGGAUGUGAAAGCCCCGGGCUCAACCUGGGAACUGCAUCCAAAACUGGCGAGCUAGAGUAUGGCAGAGGGUGGUGGAAUUUCCUGUGUAG